UAGAAAUUUACCUUCUUAUAAUGAGUGUAUGUAUAUUCCAGCAACAACAACUUACUAUUUAAAUCGUCAAACAACAUUAAUUUUCUCCGUCCGCAUCUCCAGCUCUGCUAUACCAUAGUAAAUUUUGCCACUUCAAUAGUUGCACCACCAUCUUUUCUUGAUAAUGUCAUCUUCUUUUAAUCAUUUUGAGACCCGUCCUUCAUAAACUCCUCUAGAUCUAGUUUGCGUACAUUUAAAGAAAGGGAAAACAAAGGAGCUCUGUCCUUCAUAUACGCACACACCAUUCACUAGUACAAUCAUUAUUGCACACAUGAGGCUCUCCUAAGUGCUUUUUUUCUAAUCCUUUUCUAGUCCUUCUUCUUUAUUGUAUCAUUUAAUGUGUAAUUGAAAAUUGAAAUUGAUAACUGAAAAAGUUGGAUCAAUAGUAACAAUCGAUUGAGUGCAAAGAGUCAUUAAAGAGACUUACACACAUCAACAGAAAAUCAAAUUGGAGAAGAUAUAUAGAUGGCAUUCCUAAUUGAGAAAGCUACCUGAUCAAUAUUCUAUCUUCGUUUUGAAGCAAUUUUCUCAGCCUGGGUAACGAUUGAAAAACAAUCUCAGUCUGGGAAAAAACUUUGUUGAACUUACAUAGGCGAAGCAGAGGAAGCCCACAAAAAUCAAGCAAAAGAGAAGAAUAUAAAAUAAAGGAAUAAAGGAAAUACCAACCAAACAUGAGUCAACAUCACAAAAUAAAAUUUACCUCGUAGAUACGCCGCACCACUAGGUCGAUGUCCCACAAUUAACAAAUAAUGAGGAGUAUUAGUGCUCCUCAUAAAAUAAUGAUGGUUUUAAGUCUAAGCCCCAAAUAACGGAUUAUUUUACGAUUUUCUCGAAUAUGAACAAAUAAGUUAGAAAAUACUUAUCCUUGGACAGUAUUAUACGAUGCUUCUGCAUGAUAAGAAAGGACAAUUGAAAAAGUAACUCACACCGAUCAUAUGUUUCUUCAACUGGAAUACUCACCAACUCAGAUUUCUCAUGGUACUCUUGAAUGUGAUGUUGCUUUUGUUCUGUAACAGCAAGAGCGGAUCCAAAUAACAUAAAGAUUCGUUGCCGAGGUGCAUUUGAUCUUCGAAAGUGUUGUGCCCACAACACACAAUAUUUGAAUACCAGAAGGGCUUCU
rnacentral:lncRNA from 1 species